rfam:Larimichthys crocea isolate SSNF unplaced genomic scaffold scaffold145, whole genome shotgun sequence.
GUAGGCUAUGGAGAUAUCUACCCAAAAACUCUAUUGGGGAAGAUAGUUGGAGGUUUGUGUUGCAUUGCUGGAGUACUGGUGAUAGCCCUGCCUAUCCCCAUCAUUGUGAAUAAC